UCUGGUGAAGUACAGUGGAUAUGGCAUCUGCCCGGUAAGCGUAACACUGUGGGUUCGAUUCCCAUCUCUAGAA
rnacentral:tRNA from 1 species